UAACGCGUGAGCAACCUGCCCUUCGGAGGGGGAUAGUGUCUGGAAACGGACAGUAAUACCGCAUAACGUAUUUUUACCGCAUGAUAGAAAUACCAAAACUGAGGUGCCGAAGGAUGGGCUCGCGUUGGAUUAGAUAGUUGGUGGGGUAACGGCCUACCAAGUCAACGAUCCAUAGCCGGACUGAGAGGUUGAACGGCCACAUUGGGACUGAGACACGGCCCAGACUCCUACGGGAGGCAGCAGUGGGGAAUAUUGCACAAUGGGGGAAACCCUGAUGCAGCAACGCCGCGUGAAGGAAGACGGUUUUCGGAUUGUAAACUUCUGUUCUUAGUGAAGAAAAAUGACGGUAGCUAAGGAGCAAGCCACGGCUAACUACGUGCCAGCAGCCGCGGUAAUACGUAGGUGGCAAGCGUUGUCCGGAAUUACUGGGUGUAAAGGGAGCGCAGGCGGGAAGCCAAGUCAGCUGUGAAAACUACGGGCUUAACUUGUAGACUGCAGUUGAAACUGGUUUUCUUGAGUGAAGUAGAGGUUGGCGGAAUUCCGAGUGUAGCGGUGAAAUGCGUAGAUAUUCGGAGGAACACCGGUGGCGAAGGCGGCCAACUGGGCUUUAACUGACGCUGAGGCUCGAAAGUGUGGGGGAGCAAACAGGAUUAGAUACCCUGGUAGUCCACACUGUAAACGAUGAUAACUAGGUGUGGGGGG
rnacentral:rRNA from 1 species